UAUAUUUUUUGUUUACUUUGGUAUGAAUAAAAACCCUAAAAUCGUUUUUGAAGUUCUCCUGGCCAUUUUUUACUGAAAAUGGCAUGGAUCGUGGAUUUUAAGGUCUUACUUUUGGUACCUUUUCCUUAAAUAGAGACUUUUGUAUGGUUGGUUUGUUUCCUUAUGUGGGAACGCUUUACCCUUUCAAUCUUUACUUUUUUUCUUUCAUCUUUUAUCAUCUUCUUGUCUUUUACUUUGUCUUCUCUCAUCUCAUUCUAUAGGACAUAGAAAUUGACAGAAGAGAGUGAGCCCACAGAGGCACUUGUAUAAGGCUAUACUUUUACUUUUGUGUUCUCACUUUACUUUCUGUCAUCUUCCAGUGCCGGAAUUUGACCUAAAUUUCCUUUUGGUCACUUCUCGGCCUGUUUUGUUCCAUAUUUUCAUUUCUUGUCUCCCUUAUUACAUUACUUUCCCUUCUCUUUCUAUCUCAUAUGAUCUCUCCCUCCUCUCUGGGAGUAGUUGAAUUUGAUUGACACCAGUGAAGAUAAUCUAUUCGAAGAGGAAUAUGGUGUGCCUACCGAUGAUCUGACUAUGUCUUUUGUUUAUUUCCAAUAGCAAUAGCUCUCAAUAUGAUUAAUUUAUGGUUUUAAAUCCCUUUUUAAAUACAAUAAUAGCUUUUGAUGUUAUUCACAGUUGAGGUAGGCCUGAUUACUGUGCGGAUUUAGCGGCAAAACUAUGAUAUCACGGGACCAUUUUCAUUAUACAUGGCCUAUUAGUAGCUAGUGUGGUCCUCCCUCAACAAACCCUCUUUCUUUUCUUUUUAUGAAUGAUCAGGUUGCUUGUAUUCUCAGGUGCAAAUGGAGUUUUCUACUACAGCGAGUGCAGCAGGGGAGAAGAGCCAUGGGGACCAGGAUUUAGGGCAUCUGAUGAGGAGUUUCUAUUAACGAUUUUUUGCAUCUAUUUUUCUCUCUUGCUUUUGUCUGUUCCUUAUACAGGUAGGCAGGUAUUUGAGUUUUGUAACUCUGGAUGUACGGAGGUUUAUUCAGAAAAAACUCAUUAAACAGGUUUUGGUAUCAUUUUGGAAAUGCAAAUCUUGUUUCAUUUAAAGUACUUGCAUCCGUCUGUUUUAGGAAUUGACUUAGUAUUAAAUUAGUAAUUUCUACGUCAAUAUUUUGGGGCCUAAUAUACUUACUCCAUCGUAUUGUGUCCAAGUCUUUUAUUAUUUCUUGUAUCUCCAAAAAGCAUUUAUUUGUAUGAUGGAUUGUAUUAAGAUAAAGAGUUACAUGCAAUCAACAAUUUUUAAACUGUAAGAUUUGGGUUUCUUUUGCGGAAUGACUGCAUUUUACUUACCCAUCAUAGAUGUUUGUACUUUUUGUUGAGUGGAAACUAAUACUAGGUUGUUCUGCGUUAGUUUGAAUGAUUGCUUCCUUUGUAUGUUGAUUUUUGAAUCUAAAUUUUCUGCUGAAAAUUAAGCAAACUACAAAAUUCCUCUUUUCUUCUGUUAGAUUGUUGUAUCUUAAGGUUGGGAGUCCUAGCAAAGCUACUAGUUUUCCAGUUUGCAUCUCCUUCAACACCUCUGUUACUUAUGUUUAGUUAUAUUAAGUAAUUCUAUUUCCAAUAUGGAGCAUUGAUGAAUAUUAAAAUGAUUAACUUAUUAACUGAUAAUGCUAUUAGUCAUAAAGUGCAUUUACUUUUCCUUAUGGAUUAAGUUAAUCAUUUGGUUUGAGUUGAUCAUUUCAUGUCAAGUGAUUGGUAUUUGGAAUAAGUGCACAAUUCCCUCAUCAGAAGUAUUUCAGCAAUUAAUCUUAUGAUUUUAGGAGACAAUUAUUGUUCUUCUCUUUUAAUGAAUUUAAUUGACUCUAGUUGGUGCUAGCUAGAUUUGUUGUUCUUGAUUACACCUUCAAUAUCAUACAUGCAUUAAGGAUGCAAUGUAAAUUUUUUUUUUUUUUAUUUAAGAAGCAUGGAAUUGAUGAAAUUGUAUUCUUUGGGACCCUUUAAAUCCAUAACUCAUUCGAAUCAAUAUAAUAUUUUAAAAUUUAGUAAUUUUGAUCCAAGUGUU